GGGCGUAUUGUGGGCGUGGUUGUGAAUAAUUAGGGAAAGGGGGUGGGAUGUUUGCGAUAGUUGGGCCAUGAGAGGGAGGAUAUGGCCGGUAGUUAUUUUGGGGGAAUUGGGGAAAAUUAUUCUGUCGAGUGAUGGAAUGCACAUCACUCUCCUUCUUCUUGCCAAAAUUGGCAGUCUUUUUCACAGGGUUCUCAGUCAACUCCUGUAGCCUUCCUAUUCU
rnacentral:misc_RNA from 1 species